UGAGGAAUAUUGGUCAAUGGACGAGAGUCUGAACCAGCCAAGUAGCGUGCAGGAUGACGGCCCUAUGGGUUGUAAACUGCUUUUGUUUGGGAAUAAUCGGCAUUACGUGUAAUGUUUUGCAUGUACCAUUCGAAUAAGGACCGGCUAAUUCCGUGCCAGCAGCCGCGGUAAUACGGAAGGUCCAGGCGUUAUCCGGAUUUAUUGGGUUUAAAGGGAGUGUAGGCGGUUGGUUAAGCGUGUUGUGAAAUGUAGAUGCUCAACAUCUGACUUGCAGCGCGAACUGGCUGACUUGAGUACACACAACGUAGGCGGAAUUCAUGGUGUAGCGGUGAAAUGCUUAGAUAUCAUGAAGAACUCCGAUUGCGAAGGCAGCUUACGGGAGUGUUACUGACGCUUAAGCUCGAAGGUGCGGGUAUCGAACAGG
rnacentral:rRNA from 1 species